UAGAGUACGGGUUCGGAAAGAUUUUUCGUCUGGGAUGGGCUCGCGGCCUAUCAGCUUGUUGGUGAGGUAAUGGCUCACCAAGGCGUCGACGGGUAGCCGGCCUGAGAGGGUGACCGGCCACACUGGGACUGAGACACGGCCCAGACUCCUACGGGAGGCAGCAGUGGGGAAUAUUGCACAAUGGGCGCAAGCCUGAUGCAGCAACGCCGCGUGAGGGAUGACGGCCUUCGGGUUGUAAACCUCUUUUAGCAGGGAAGAAGCGUAAGUGACGGUACCUGCAGAAAAAGCGCCGGCUAACUACGUGCCAGCAGCCGCGGUAAUACGUAGGGCGCAGCGUUAUCCGGAAUUAUUGGGCGUAAAGAGCUCGUAGGCGGUUUGUCGCGUCUGCUGUGAAAUCCCGAGGCUCAACCUCGGGCCUGCAGUGGGUACGGGCAGACUAGAGUGCGGUAGGGGAGAUUGGAAUUCCUGGUGUAGCGGUGGAAUGCGCAGAUAUCAGGAGGAACACCGAUGGCGAAGGCAGAUCUCUGGGCCGUAACUGACGCUGAGGAGCGAAAGGGUGGGGAGCAAACAGGCUUAGAUACCCUGGUAGUCCACCCCGUAAACGUUGGGAACUAGUUGUGGGGACCAUUCCACGGUUUCCGUGACGCAGCUAACGCAUUAAGUUCCCCGCCUGGGGAGUACGGCCGCAAGGCUAAAACUCAAAGGAAUUGACGGGGACCCGCACAAGCGGCGGAGCAUGCGGAUUAAUUCGAUGCAACGCGAAGAACCUUACCAAGGCUUGACAUACACCAGAACACCGUAGAAAUACGGGACUCUUUGGACACUGGUGAACAGGUGGUGCAUGGUUGUCGUCAGCUCGUGUCGUGAGAUGUUGGGUUAAGUCCCGCAACGAGCGCAACCCUCGUUCUAUGUUGCCAGCACGUAAUGGUGGGAACUCAUGGGAUACUGCCGGGGUCAACUCGGAGGAAGGUGGGGAUGACGUCAAAUCAUCAUGCCCCUUAUGUCUUGGGCUUCACGCAUGCUACAAUGGCCGGUACAAAGGGCUGCAAUACCGUGAGGUGGAGCGAAUCCCAAAAAGCCGGUCCCAGUUCGGAUUGAGGUCUGCAACUCGACCUCAUGAAGUCGGAGUCGCUAGUAAUCGCAGAUCAGCAACGCUGCGGUGAAUACGUUCCCGGGUCUUGUACACACCGCCCGUCAAGUCAUGAAAGUCGGUAACACCUGAAGCCGGUGGCCCAACCCCCUUUG
rnacentral:rRNA from 2 species